UAAACAGACGUCUGCUCAGAAUGAGAUGAUCAAAAAACUGCAAGAUCAGAACCGGGACUUGGAGUUCAAAAUUGACAAAAUGCAAGGUGAUCUUCAUGGGUGUCGGACUGAGAGCGGGAGGCACGGGGAACUGGUGCAAGGAUUAAAGCGCAGUUUGGGUGACUGUGGAAACCAAAUCUCAGACCUUCGGUAUUCUCUACGAAGCUGCCGGAAGCAAGAAUGCGAAUGGCAGGAUGAUAACAAAUGGUGGCUCAAUUUUCCGUUUGGUUUGGGCUGUUUCCUGCGUUGUUGCCUCGGCUAUUGUUUCAAAUAAUAUGAAUGGCAGACCUUGAAGGUUGGAAACUCCUGUCUGAAGGGAAGGUGGUUAUAAACAGAAUGAUGAUCCUCUCGAUGUGACCCUUGAGAGAACGUUAUCGUGAAGAUCUUUCCCCACAGUUCUGCUCCACCUGAAUGGUUCUGCUGUGGUGUGAGUGGACCUCCGCCAUGGCCAGCAUCCUUGGCACCCCCUUGUUCAAUGAGUUGGCAAUGAGUCUGCAAGCCAGGCUUGGUUGGGUGACAAGGGUGCGGUGAUGUGGAGAUAGGUAGAGGCAUGGGACACGGAAUGGGAAAGAACCACCGCGGAUAUGGGUCCCGUUCCCUC